GGAAGAUUUUACCAUCUCUGGUUUCUUUUAGUCCAAUAUGAGAGAUGCUGUGUGCAAUAAAAAAUGUCACAUUCCAUCACCCAGUCCUCGAAGUUGGGACUGAAAACUUACGUCUUGGCUGGAGAGUCCAAUCCACAAAGAAGAGUUAUGAAGGACCGCCUGCACGGUUAGGAACGCCUGCUGAUGAAGGGCAACUUGAUACUACAGUCUGCUGGUUUAUUGAAGUCUGAGAAAUGAAAAACAGGAUUACUCUGGGAAGUGACGCCAUGGACGUCGUGAG